GGGUUGUGAGGUUAAGCGACUAAGCGUACACGGUGGAUGCCCUGGCAGUCAGAGGCGAUGAAGGACGUGCUAAUCUGCGAAAAGCGUCGGUAAGGUGAUAUGAACCGUUAUAGCCGGCGAUGUCCGAAUGGGGAAACCCAGUGUGAUUCGUCACACUAUCGUUAACUGAAUACAUAGGUUAACGAGGCGAACCGGGGGAACUGAAACAUCUAAGUACCCCGAGGAAAAGAAAUCAACCGAGAUUCCCCCAGUAGCGGCGAGCGAACGGGGAGCAGCCCAGAGUCUGAAUCAGCUUGUGUGUUAGUGGAACGGUCUGGAAAGUCCGACGGUACAGGGUGAUAGUCCCGUACACCAAAAUGCACAGGUUGUGAACUCGAAGAGUAGGGCGGGACACGUGGUAUCCUGUCUGAAUAUGGGGGGACCAUCCUCCAAGGCUAAAUACUCCUGACUGACCGAUAGUGAACCAGUACCGUGAGGGAAAGGCGAAAAGAAC
rnacentral:rRNA from 1 species